rnacentral:sRNA from 16 species
CACAAACGAAUUUCUUGAAUGAGCAAUUUCACUUUGCUCUUUUGCAUACAUUCAUUAUGGGAUUGCUCUGGUUUCGACAGGA